rnacentral:rRNA from 1 species
UUUUUAUGGAGAGUUUGAUCCUGGCUCAGGACGAACGCUGGCGGCGUGCCUAAUACAUGCAAGUCGAGCGGAUCGAUGGGAGCUUGCUCCCUGAGAUCAGCGGCGGACGGGUGAGUAACACGUGGGUAACCUGCCUGUAAGACUGGGAUAACUCCGGGAAAC